rnacentral:rRNA from 1 species
AUGAUGCUAACCGCACAGCAGCAAUUAACAGCAACAAAUAGUGGUGUCGAGAGCUACAACCCACCUGUUUCACCUCCGUCGGAUGAACCAAUUCCCAUCACUGUAGCUACCUCCCUACCGUCAAAUGUUACAGGGGCGACUGCUGACCCAUGCUACAUAUCUCUCCACCGUGGGCUCAGCAAUGGAAAGAAUCCGGACGGUGAGAGCAGCCCCGACGGCGACUGCGGGAACCAUAGCCCUGGCGAAGGCGGCGGCGGCAUGGGCCCUGGCCCCAGGAUCCCUGUUCCUGGCAGCGGCGACAACAUGGGGAAGUUCGGCGUGAGCGGAGGAGGUUGCUGGAACCCCGGCGAGAGGAGCGGGUAG